GUAGGGAAUCUUCCACAAUGGGCGAAAGCCUGAUGGAGCAGCGCCGCGUGUGUGAUGAAGGGUUUCGGCUCGUAAAACACUGUUGUAAGAGAAGAAUGACAUUGAGAGUAACUGUUCAAUGUGUGACGGUAUCUUACCAGAAAGGAACGGCUAAAUACGCGCCAG
rnacentral:rRNA from 1 species